rnacentral:rRNA from 1 species
UAGGGAAUAUUGCAAAAUGGGCGAAAGCCCGAUGCAGCAACGCCGCGUGGGCGAUGAAGGCCUUCGGGUCGUAAAGCCCUUUUUGAGGGGAUGAGGAAGGACAGUACCCUCAGAAUAAGCCUCGGCUAACUACGUGCCAGCAGCCGCGGUAAAACGUAGGAGGCGAGCGUUAUCCGGAUUUACUGGGCGUAAAGCGCGUGCAGGCGGAUUGGAGAGUUGGAUGUGAAAGCUCCCGGCUUAACUGGGAGAGGUCGUUCAAUACUUCCAGUCUUGAGUGCAGUAGAGGGAAGUGGAAUUCCGGGUGUAGUGGUGAAAUGCGUAGAUAUCCGGAGGAACACCAGUGGCGAAAGCGGGUUCCUGGACUGUAACUGACGCUCAGACGCGAAAGCUAGGGUAGCAAACG